rnacentral:rRNA from 1 species
GACGAACGCUGGCGGCGUGCCUAAUACAUGCAAGUCGAACGCAGUGGGGACGGGUGAGUAACACGUGGGUAACCUCCCAUCAGAGGGGAUAACACUUGGAAACAGGUGCUAAACCGAUACUGAUGGAUGAACCCGCGGUGCAUUAGCGAGUUGGUGAGGUAACGGCUCACAAAUGUCACGAUGCAUAGCCGACUUGAGAGGGUGAUCUGCCACGCUGGUACUGAGACACGGCCCAGACUCCGACGGGAGGCAGCGGUAGGAAAUCUUCGGCAAUGGACGAAAGUCUGACCGAGCAACGCCGCGGGAGUGAAGAAGGUUUUCGGAUCGUAAAACUCUGAUGUUAGAGAAGCGGUAUCUAACCAGAAAGCCACGGCUAACUACGUGCCAGCCGCCGCAAUGAUUC